rnacentral:rRNA from 1 species
AUUGAACGCUGGCGGCAGGCCUAACACAUGCAAGUCGAGCGAGCGGCGGACGGGUGAGUAAUGUCUGGGAACUGCCCGAUGGAGGGGGAUAACUACUGGAAACGGUAGCUAAUACCGCAUACUAUCGGAUCACCCAUAGGGGAUUAGCUAGUAGGUAAGGUAAUGGCUUACCUAGGCGACGAUCCCUAGCUGGUCUGAGAGGAUGAUCAGCCACACUGGGACUGAGACACGGCCCAGACUCCUACGGAGGCAGCAGUGGGGAAUAUUGCACAAUGGGCGCAAGCCUGAUGCAGCCAUGCCGCGUGUAUGAAGAAGGCCCUAGGGUUGGAAAGUACUUUCAGUCGGGAGGCGUUACCGACAGAAGAAGCACCGGCUAACUCCGUGCCAGCAGCCGCGGUAAUAC